rnacentral:misc_RNA from 1 species
AACGCACGAGACCUGCGGACCUGCGGAGGGAUCAUUAAUGAGAAACUGCCCCUCGCGGGUGGAUCUCCCACCCUUUGUAAACUUACCUUUGUUGCUUUGGCAGGCCCGUCUCCGGACCGCCGGCUUCGGCUGGCCAGUGCCUGCCAGAGGAUUCUAAAACUCUGUCUGUCAGUGUUGUCUGAGUCUAUAUACAAUCGUUAAAACUUUUAACAAUGGAUCUCUAGAUCGGAAGAGCACACG